GGAGUUCAGAUGAAUUCCCAGAUUCCCAUGGAUGAGAAAGAGAAAGCUGUUGUUAAUCAGUGGUUCAACUUGAAGUGGUAUCUUACAUAUGCAUUUUGUUGAAUUUGAAGCAUCCAUCAGACUGAGUCCAUCGCUCUCAGAUGGAGUGGAGUGACCUGUUUACAGCCCCUCACUGCUCAGGAUUAGUAUUUCCAACUUAUUUCAUAAAAAAUGACAGAACCUGCACCCACAGAAAAAUGUUGACAAACUGAAUGGUAGGUGCCAAGAGCCACAGCUCUGAGUGGCAUCACCUGGAUCUGCCCCUGUUUGUUUGCAGACACCUGGCAGAUGAAAUUUAAGAAAACCCUUAAACUUGGAGCACACCAGGAGGUCACUGGAAUACCUCCAGCUCCAUGAGACUCUGAUAGAAAUAAAACGAUGGGCCAGAUCCUCUCCACCCUGCCAAGUAAUGGAGGAUAUCUCUUUCAUUAGGGUGCUCACCUGAGCAAACCUACCAUGGUGACUCCUCCCCAAAAGCACCAUCAGUGGAGGCCAGGAAUGUAGGCCAGAUCAGGACUCUACAUCCCAGUGCGUCCUACACCCCUGCAGGACAGUGCAGGAGAAGUCUGCCCUAUGCCUGGUCAGUCAGUCUGGAAAAUACUGAUUCAAGGAGCUAAGAAAAAGUCAUCCUAAAAGAGCAUUCAUAAGAGAAAAUAAUAUGACUGAAAAGGCAAUGAAGAGGGCUUGGGAAAACUCUCCUGCUUUGAAAUUAUAGCUGUGUCACAGAAAUGAUCAGCACAGGAAAUAGUUGCCUUAUAACUGUUUGCUGGGGUCCCAGUUUACUUCAGUGACAUUUGCUGCAGCUUAAGUAUGUGCAUCAGGAACAGCAGAGGAAUGUUCUGAAAAACAGUGCUCUUUAGGCCAGCAAUGAGUUUUCUGUGCCUGAUUCUGGCUUUCUAUGAAGAGUCUGUUUGGAGAAAUAAUUAAUUUUAGAGGAGCUCCUUUACCACUGCCUUACUCUUGCCAAAGAAAAAUAUCUAAAAUGAGGGACACUUUCUAUUGUCUUUGUCAAAGAGGAAUAUGAAAUACUUAUAUCCCUUCCCAGUUAAUUAGGUAAUUAUAUUGUUUCUUGUCAAAAGAACUUCCAGUGAUUAAACUGUUGAAAGUGGUAACAUCAAUUAUAGGAAGCCUUCAGGGACCACAUUAUAGCCACAAUACUAAUAAAUAACAAUUACUAUCAUUGUACUAGAUAACACAGAGGCAUGUUAUUUCUGAGUUGUCCUAAUGACUGCAUAACUUGAUAAGAAGAAUACCGUUGUUGGCAGAUAAAAAACACUUGAUAUUUUACUAGGUCAAAUUUAAAUUAUUCUUUUUGAAAAGGUUUUGUAGACAAAGCAAUCCAGUUUACAGGUAUGACAAUUUUGAAUGCUUCUCACUAGGAAAAUGAAUGUUCUGUGAAUCAAGAUGUGAGAAUCACACAGGCUAAAGGAGUAACGACAUUUCAAUAAAAAAUUACAAGUGAUUCAUGUACCAUUAGCUCCUGUCAGAACCGACAGGAGCAAACAAAGUGGUGAUGUGCACAGUUUUCAUUAUAACUUCAUAGUUCAUUGUUAAGUCUACAAUGAAAGUAAGCUCAUAUAAAACAGAGUAAUAAAAUAGACAGAUAUCUGUAAAGAUCAGAGUAUAUGUAUGUGCAUAUCUUUAUUUUUCUACUUUGUUACUCUUUAAGAUUUAAGAUGUUAAGAAGUUAGGUCAUUAUUAUCAAUUCAAACAUUGCAAUCUCUUUUUUACUGUUACUCCUUUUAUUUUUGUAUUUUGCUAACACUAUACUUAAAUCCAAAUCCCAUUUUAAACAUUCCACAAAUAGACGGAAUAAAAUUAUCACUUCUGAGGAAUCUUAAUGGACAGCUUGUGAAGCAUAUUGGGCAAAUAUAAACCAAAUAUCAGUAGUAUCUAUCUUGCAAAUUGUUUUAAUGCAAGUAUCAUUUUCUUAAGAAUGCUGUAAGUACCAAGCUAGCUAUUGAUAUUUACGUGUGAUAGUCCUUUCAUUUCUAAAUUUUG